AGCAGCCGCGGUAAUUCCAGCUCCAAUAGCGUAUAUUAAAGUUGUUGCAGUUAAAAAGCUCGUAGUUGAAUUUCGGGGUUAGUAGGCUGGUCGUGCCACUGGUACGUACUGGUCUCACUGACUCCUCCUUCCUGAUGAACUGUAAUGCCAUUAAUUUGGUGUUGCAGGGAAACUGGACUGUUACUUUGAAAAAUUAGAGUGUUUAAAGCAAGCUAACGCUUGAAUACAUUAGCAUGGAAUAAUGAAAUAGGACGUUCGAUCCUAUUUUGUUGGUUUCUAGGAUUGACGUAAUGAUUAAUAGGGAUAGUUGGGGGCUAUUAGUAUUCAAUUGUCAGAGGUGAAAUUCUUGGAUUUAUUGAAGACUAACUACUGCG
rnacentral:rRNA from 1 species